rnacentral:rRNA from 1 species
UACGUAGGGUGCGAGCGUUGUCCGGAAUUACUGGGCGUAAAGAGCUCGUAGGUGGUUUGUCGCGUUGUUCGUGAAAACUCACAGCUCAACUGUGGGCGUGCGGGCGAUACGGGCAGACUGGAGUACUGCAGGGGAGACUGGAAUUCCUGGUGUAGCGGUGAAAUGCGUAGAUAUCGUAAGGAAGACCAGUGGCGAAGGCGGAUCUCUGGACAGUUACUGACACUGAGGCACGAAGGCCAGGGGAGCAAACGGG